UGCCUUUGGUUCCUACACGCUGUUGCAUUUGUCUAACAAUGUCAUGUCUCUGUGGACACUGGUGAAUGCAGUUGACUCUUGAAGAUCGAGGGCAACAAAGACAUAUGCCGAGGCCGUCCAUCGACAACCUACCUAAGGUCAUUCGUUCUUGUGCCUUUUGGCCAUGUGCACUUUACUGCUUUGUUCCAAAAAAGCAUGGAAUGUUUGUUCUGCUGGUACAACUACUCUGGCUAGGAAAUUUUGGCUUAGAAUAACAUAAAUGAACCUAAAAUUUCUUAAAAUUUUGGUUUGUCCUUGUGCACAAUCAUAGGGAUGCUUUGAAAUAUUUUACCUUGCUUUCUUUUGAUUUGAGUUGUGUUUAUGUCAAACACUAUUUGUUUUGAUAGAUUCAAUAUAUGAAGUGUCGUAAAAAAAAUUUGCUGGCAUUGCUUGCAUGGUAUAAUACAUACUAUAAGAGCUCGUUCAGAGUUUAAAUAUCAGCAAGUUCUACUCCCUUUUUCGUUCGCUUUGUAUAGUUGUUAUGGCGCUGCUAGAAGGAGGGCGCGAGAGUGCCAUGCCCCCGGUCGGGCAAGAGGGAAGGGAUUUCCUUCUUAAUUCUUGCUUGAUUAGAUUGAUACAUCUCCUCUCUUUAUAUAGAGAGGUUUACUUGACUCCCAAGCAAGGCUUACUUGACCCCUAAGCAAGCGACCCUUAUCUCUAAUUAACCCUAAGACUAAUGGGCCCAUUAGGCCCAUUACAUACUCUAAAACUACACCCCACCUGGACAUGCAGCUUGUCCUCGAGCUGCAGCCUAACCAACUUAUAAUCAUGACUCGACGCAACACAAACCUAACACCUAAAAACAAGCCUUUUACAUCUUGGCUUGUGUUAUUACUCUCAACCUGAAAUAGACUAGGACACUUUAUUCUGGACGUGCACGUGUACAGCCACCUGGAUCCCUUGGACACCACCUUGACAAAAAGAGUGCAUGUGUAUGGCUGUUGGUCUGCACCACACAUGGAAGAGUGAAGGGCUUGCGAUGGAGAAUGACGAGGAGGGGUGCGGCCCCCCAACCGCUGAUGUCGUAGACUUUGAGGUCGCUGCCCGCGGGGAAAACAGCAUGCCAGCCGCCCGUGGGGGAGACUGCAUGCCGAAGAUCCCCGACGCAGCGGACGAGAUCGAGGUCCUUUGCACAGUGAAGGGCAACUUGGAGGAGCGGGAGCUGCAGACCACGCAUCUCCCGCACACGCCGACACGCUAGGAGGCCGCGCGCAGCAGCCUGCAGCCUCACCGCCGCUGACACGUGGCGGGUAGCGAUCCAAGACGGAAGCGGUGACGGCGAUGGCAGGGACUUGAUCUGCUGGAUGUGGACGCCCUGGGAUGACGGCAUCGCUGAUGGGAACGAGUUCAUCGCACUCCCGUCGUAGGGCAUCCCAUAUUGGGCGGCGGAGCUGACCGGCGGUGGCUGCUGCUGCGGUGCCACGCCGGGCAGCAGCGGCGGCUUCUGCGGCGGAGCGCCGGGCGCGGCAGAGGCCGCCAGGAGCGACGGCUGCUGCGGCGGAGCGCCGGGCGCGGCAGAGGCCGCCAGGAGCGACGGCUGCCACUGCAGCAAGUGCUGGGCGGUGGUGGCGAUGGAUGGCAGCUGCAGCGGCCCGACAAGCGCGGCGAAGGCCGCCUGGUGCGGCGGCUGCCACAGCAGCCACGGCGGCGCGGGGGUGGUGAUGGGCGGCGCAGCCGGGUGCAGCACGUUGGACCCGGCUAAGAACAUGUGGAUCUCCUAGACCGCCUGAGUUAGGUCCCGCAGCACCCCGGACACCUCCUCCCAGGUGAGGACGGCGGGGGCGGGCGCGACGGAGGACCCCUGCGCGGGCAGGAGCGGGGCGACGGUCGUGGUGGUUGCCGGAGGUGACAACGUGACCGGCAGCGGAAGAGACGGGCUUGGCGGCAGUGAAGACAUGAUCGAACCAAAGCUAGUUAAUACCAAAUUGUUAUGGCGCUGCUAGAAGGAGGGCGCGAGAGUGCCGACCGGGGGCCUUUUUGCCCACGGCCGGGCAAGAGGGAAGGGAUUUCCUUCUUAAUUCUUGCUUGAUUAGAUUGAUACAUCUCCUCUCUUUAUAUAGAGAGGUUUACUUGACUCCCAAGCAAGCAUUACUUGACCCCUAAGCAAGCGACCCUUAUCUCUAAUUAACCCUAAGACUAAUGGGCCCAUUAGGCCCAUUACAUACUCUAAAACUACACCCCACCUGGACAUGCAGCUUGUCCUCGAGCUGCAGCCUAACCAACUUAUAAUCAUGACUCGACGCAACACAAACCUAACACCUAAAAACAAGCCUUUUACAUCUUGGCUUGUGUUAUUACUCUCAACCUGAAAUAGACUAGGACACUUUAUUCUGGACGUGCACGUGUACAGCCACCUGGAUCCCUUGGACACCACCUUGACAAAAAGAGUGCAUGUGUAUGGCUGUUGGUCUGCACCACACAUGGAAGAGUGAAGGGCUUGCGAUGGAGAAUGACGAGGAGGGGUGCGGCCCCCCAACCGCUGAUGUCGUAGACUUUGAGGUCGCUGCCCGCGGGGAAAACAGCAUGCCAGCCGCCCGUGGGGGAGACUGCAUGCCGAAGAUCCCCGACGCAGCGGACGAGAUCGAGGUCCUUUGCACAGUGAAGGGCAACUUGGAGGAGCGGGAGCUGCAGACCACGCAUCUCCCGCACACGCCGACACGCUAGGAGGCCGCGCGCAGCAGCCUGCAGCCUCACCGCCGCUGACACGUGGCGGGUAGCGAUCCAAGACGGAAGCGGUGACGGCGAUGGCAGGGACUUGAUCUGCUGGAUGUGGACGCCCUGGGAUGACGGCAUCGCUGAUGGGAACGAGUUCAUCGCACUCCCGUCGUAGGGCAUCCCAUAUUGGGCGGCGGAGCUGACCGGCGGUGGCUGCUGCUGCGGUGCCACGCCGGGCAGCAGCGGCGGCUUCUGCGGCGGAGCGCCGGGCGCGGCAGAGGCCGCCAGGAGCGACGGCUGCUGCGGCGGAGCGCCGGGCGCGGCAGAGGCCGCCAGGAGCGACGGCUGCCACUGCAGCAAGUGCUGGGCGGUGGUGGCGAUGGAUGGCAGCUGCAGCGGCCCGACAAGCGCGGCGAAGGCCGCCUGGUGCGGCGGCUGCCACAGCAGCCACGGCGGCGCGGGGGUGGUGAUGGGCGGCGCAGCCGGGUGCAGCACGUUGGACCCGGCUAAGAACAUGUGGAUCUCCUAGACCGCCUGAGUUAGGUCCCGCAGCACCCCGGACACCUCCUCCCAGGUGAGGACGGCGGGGGCGGGCGCGACGGAGGACCCCUGCGCGGGCAGGAGCGGGGCGACGGUCGUGGUGGUUGCCGGAGGUGACAACGUGACCGGCAGCGGAAGAGACGGGCUUGGCGGCAGUGAAGACAUGAUCGAACCAAAGCUAGUUAAUACCAAAUUGUUAUGGCGCUGCUAGAAGGAGGGCGCGAGAGUGCCGACCGGGGGCCUUUUUGCCCACGGCCGGGCAAGAGGGAAGGGAUUUCCUUCUUAAUUCUUGCUUGAUUAGAUUGAUACAUCUCCUCUCUUUAUAUAGAGAGGUUUACUUGACUCCCAAGCAAGCAUUACUUGACCCCUAAGCAAGCGACCCUUAUCUCUAAUUAACCCUAAGACUAAUGGGCCCAUUAGGCCCAUUACGUACUCUAACAAUAGUUUUAAAGUUUGCACAUGUGAUGUAUCCUUGUACUCCCUCCGUCCGGAAAUACUUGUCGGAGAAAUGGAUGUAUCUAGACGUAUUUUAGUUUUAGAUACAUCCAUUUUUAUGCAUUUCUCCGACAAGUAUUUUCGGAUGGAGGGAGUAUAAGCUAUAUGCAUUUGUAGUUGGAUUCUCUAUAGAGCUGAAAAUAACACUCGAAAUUAUCUAUUUUUAUGAUACAUGGUCGUGUAAAUGUGGUUGGAAAUCGGGUUAAGGUAAAAUGGAAAAGGGAUAAGAAAUGCAGUUUCUAUGAGCGAAAGCAUCCUGGAACAUAUGGUUGUUUAUUGUUUAUGCUUCUAUGGCAGUGAGAUCGGUUAGUAAUGUUACACAUAAUUAUUUUUUCCAGCGGUGUUCCUCACUCUCUUGAGCAUGUUUUUGUUGCACUGGUUAGUUGUUAGAAUGCAUGUAUUUCAGCCCAUCAUCAAGUUUCUACUAUUGUACAUUUCCCUUGCUACUUUGUUGGCUAAAUUAUUUUUUAGGAAACUAUUUGAACUCUUAGGCCAUUUGUUCUAUGUUGUUUCUAUUUAGGAGUUUCUUCACGAUGCCACUUCCCACCUCGAAAGGUGUCGAUGUCGGCGAUCCAGCUUUUAUUCUACAUGUAUCACUUCUUCAAAUGAAACCCCAACCUGAGAAAGGGCAUGGUAGAUGAUGAUGUAUUUGUCUUAUGUGUGUGUCAGAAGAAGUGAUCUAUUAGUUGAGCAUUAUGUAAAUUAGACUUAGCAUUAUGUAAAUUAAACUUAGCAAUAAAGCUUUGAGAAGUGUAUUCGUUGUCUUUUUGUACAACCUAUUACUAUCCAAAUUAUUCUUUCUAAACCAACUCAAAUGAUAUGAAUCAAUGAUCGCAUUUGCUAAGACAAUUUUGAAAUAUCUUACUGGG
rnacentral:lncRNA from 1 species